GAUGAACGCUGGCGGCAUGCCUGAUACAUGCAAGUCGAACGAGAGGAAGGAAAGCUUGCUUUUCUGAAUCUAGUGGCGAACGGGUGAGUAACACGUAGGUAACCUGCCCAUGUGCCCGGGAUAACUUCUGGAAACGGAUGCUAAAACCGGAUAGGUAGCAGACAAGCAUUUGACUGCUAUUAAAGUGGCUAAGGCCAUGAACAUGGAUGGACCUGCGGUGCAUUAGCUAGUUGGUGAGGUAACGGCCCACCAAGGCGACGAUGCAUAGCCGGCGUGGGAGGGCGGACGGCCACAUUGGGACUGAGACACGGCCCAAGAUCCGACGGGAGGAAGCAGUAGGGAAUUUUCGUCAAUGGGGGGAACCCUGAACGAGCAAUGCCGCGUGAGUGAGGAAGGUCUUCGGAUCGUAAAGCUCUGUUGUAAGAGAAAAACGACAUUCAUAGGGAAUGAUGAGUGAGUGAUGGUAUCUUACCAGAAAGUCACGGCUAACUACGUGCCAGCAGCCGCCGUAA
rnacentral:rRNA from 1 species